rnacentral:rRNA from 1 species
AUUGAACGCUGGCGGAAUGCUUUACACAUGCAAGUCGAGCGGCAGCGCGGGGGCAACCCUGGCGGCGAGCGGCGAACGGGUGAGUAAUGUAUCGGAACGUACCCAGUCGUGGGGGAUAACUAUCCGAAAGGAUAGCUAAUACCGCAUACGUCCUGAGGGAGAAAGCGGGGGACCGAAAGGCCUCGCGCGAUUGGAGCGGCCGAUAUCGGAUUAGCUAGUUGGUGAGGUAAAGGCUCACCAAGGCGACGAUCCGUAGCGGGUCUGAGAGGAUGAUCCGCCACACUGGGACUGAGACACGGCCCAGACUCCUACGGGAGGCAGCAGUGGGGAAUUUUGGACAAUGGGGGCAACCCUGAUCCAGCCAUGCCGCGUGAGUGAAGAAGGCCUCGGUUGUAAGACUCUUUCUAGACGGAAAGAAAUACGCACUUUUAAUUACUAAGGUAGU